CACGUAGGGGGGCAAGCGUUGUCCGGAUUUAUUGGGCGUAAAGAGCUCGUAGGCGGUUCGGUAAGUCGGGUGUGAAACCUCCAGGCUCAACCUGGAGACGCCACCCGAUACUGCUGUGACUAGAGUCCGGUAGGGGAGCGUGGAAUUCCUGGUGUAGCGGUGAAAUGCGCAGAUAUCAGGAGGAACACCAGCGGCGAAGGCGGCGCUCUGGGCCGGGAACUGACGCUGAGGAGCGAAAGCGUGGGGAGCAAACAGG
rnacentral:rRNA from 1 species